rnacentral:rRNA from 1 species
AUUGAACGCUGGCGGCAGGCCUAACACAUGCAAGUCGAGCGGAGCGGCGGACGGGUGAGUAAUGCCUAGGAAUCUGCCUGGUGGUGGGGGAUAACGUCCGGAGACGGGCGCUAAUCAAGCAUACUAUCAGAUGAGCCUAGUGCGAAUUAGCUAGUUGGUGGGGUAAAGGCCUACCAAGGCGACGAUCCGUAACUGGUCUGAGAGGGUGAUCGGUCACACUGGAACUGAGACACGGUCCAGACUCCUACGGGAGGCAGCAGUAGGGAAUAUUGGACAAUGGGCGAAAGUCUGAUCCAGCCAUGCCGCGUGUGUGAAGAAGGUCUUCGGAUUGUAAAGCACUGGUAGUUGGGAAGCGUUACCAACAGAGAAAGCACCGGCUAACUACGUGCCAGCAGCCGCGGUAAUUC